CAAUUUCACGGUCCCAUGGGAUCGCCUGGUUCUUUAGUAGAAAGUGUGCCUCGGGCGAGUUGAAAAGAACCCUUUGUAGUCUUUGUUGGUUAUGAUUAUUUGUUUACAAUACGAACAAACAUCGCGUUCCAUUGACUGACCAAAACCUGUUAUCAAAAUUCAUACUCCUUUGACCUGUGGUGUCUGGUGUGAUUCUACGUGGAUGCUUUGUGGCGCUUAAAACAGACCUUGACUCAAAGACAUUUGGUGAAUGAAUAGACGCAUAGCUGUUCCUUGCUUUUAGUAAGUCAAGCCGAAUUCACUCAAGAGAUUAGCCAAAGGAUUUCGUGUUAUAAAAGAUCUUCACAAGUCAAAAUAAUGUUGACUUKCAUGUCUUGGUAACUGUCAUUAGAAGUGAUCUCGUAAGUCAUUGUCAAACCUUUAGUCAAUUUGGUACGUCGYUCCUAAUAUUGGAAGCUUUGAUCAACGAUGUUACAAGGUAAUUGAUCAAUCGCCGUGCAUUGGAACGUUUCGAAGAGAUGAUCGUGGUUACCAUGGAAUCAAGACUGUAACUCCACUUAAGACCUCUACAUUAGUAUCAGUAGAUUAUCGAACAAAGCAGACUGAAAUGAUAUAUCAUAUAUCAUCCAUGAGCUAAUUCUUGAGUUAAUUGCUAAAAGAAGUUAAAGUUAUACACCUCAAACCAUCACAGAACUGCUAACGCUUCUAAAAGCAAGUAUCGGAAAUGAUGGCUUACGAUAAAUCAAUUAUCAACAUCGACAUCAACUUUGAUAAUGAACCUUUCAUGGCAAGUCAGCCUAGUAAACCAAAGUUUGUCAAAAAGAUCCCAAAAGAUCGAAUUACAGUGAUACAACCAAGUGUAGAAUCCACAAAAACUGAGUCUGAUAUUGAGAAAAGAGUUAAUGAAGUGCAAAGGUUUCGCCGAGAGAGUCAGAGUGCCUUAAAUGCACCUUUACUUGUGAAAGCAUUGAUAAAGAAGACAUACUGCAAGCUUGAUACAAUCGCGGGCCGAUCUUCUUCUGUGGCGUUAGAGGUAAGCUAAAAGGCCAUAAUCAAC